rnacentral:rRNA from 1 species
CCCCUAGAUGUUCUGGGCCGCACGUGCGCUACACUGAACAGUUCAACAAGUCUUAACCUUGGCCGAUAGGUCUGGGUAAUCUUUGAACGCUGUUCGUGAUUGGGAUAGACCUUUGCAAUUAUGGGUCUUCAACGAGGAAUUCCUAGUAAACGCAAGUCAUCAGCUUGCAUUGAUUACGUCCCUGCCCUUUGUACACACCGCCCGUCGCACCUACCGAUUGAAUGGUCCGGUGAAAUCUCGGGACGGCGGCUUGGUCGCUUGCGUCCGACUGCUGAAACUUGAUUAAACCAUAUCAUUUAGAGGAAGGUGAAGUCGUAACA